UACGUAGGUGGCAAGCGUUGUCCGGAUUUACUGGGCGUAAAGAGCGCGCAGGCGGUCGAUUUAGUCGCGUGUGAAAGCCCCCGGCUCAACUGGGGAGGGUCACGCGAUACUGAUCGACUCGAAGGCAGGAGAGGGUAGUGGAAUUCCCGGUGUAGUGGUGAAAUGCGUAGAGAUCGGGAGGAACAUCAGUGGCGAAGGCGGCCUUCUGGACCAGUACUGACGCUGAGGCACGAAAGCGUGGGGAGCAAACAGG
rnacentral:rRNA from 1 species